AUGAGGCUUCAGUGUCUAUGACGCACUGACGGCGCACACAAGCAGUUUGGCACAAGACGCCCAGCCAGACGCAUCUGGCAGUUUUCUCUGUUGUUAAAUCUCUAUAUGUGAUUAUUAACUCAGUGAAGUUUUCAGCAUGGGAGACCCUUACCAGCACCCUGUGUUCUUUGAAUGUGACAAUCUGAACGCAGACCAAAGGAAGAAGAUAGAAAGCUAUUUCCAAAUUCGACGCAAAUCAGGCGGAGGAGAGUGCAGCUCCGUGAUUAAGGUGGAUGAUAAAGUUUGCAGCGUCUCUUUUAAAGAGCAAGAAGCUCAGCAAAGGGUCCUGCAAAGAUGUGAACAUGUGGUGCAGUGUACAGACGGUCCUCUGGUUCUGAGGGUCCGAGAUCUCAGCUCCUCUCACAUCGCUACCUCCAAUCUGGCUUCUUCAUCACAGCAGAAGAAACAGGACUCCUCUCUUGCCUUAAACGUGCCACCAAGUGGUGAAGAGUAUGAGCUACAGCUUAAUGGUUACGUUCUUCGUUACCUGAAGGAAUGU
ensembl:lncRNA